CCCACCGGUCUUCCACCAUUAUUUGAGUGUUCAUGGAUCUGAAGAUUAAUUUUAGUAAAGAAGGCAAGAAACAUUUUCCUUUGCAUUCACAGGUGGAAUGUACCUGCCCUUGAGUGAGAAAUCAGCUGUCUCUUCAUGCUUUCCAGAACGUUCAGUCUCUCAAUUCAGAUGAGGCACUUCCAAAUAGCAAUGAUCCUGCGUCAGGUUUCCUAACUAGAUUCUUUGGUGAACUGUUCUUCAGCCAGCCAGAUACUUUAAUCACACUUGUUGAUGAAUCCAUAAAUCAAAGGUUUGAGAAAGCCAGUGAUCUUCAGCACCAGGUGCAUCCUGGAAGUCACAUAGACCCUGGGCAUCAUUAUACCUGCUGUCAGGAUGGAAGCCCAACCACCAAGGCAAGUAUGAACAUGAGGCACGUGAACCAUAAUUCCCAGAGUUCUCUGGCAUUUGUGGAGAGCACAGAUCUCUGCUAAACACACCCCCAUCCCUCCCAAAAGUUUUUAUGCUGUUAAGUGAAAUGGGGAAGAAUUUGC
rnacentral:lncRNA from 1 species